rnacentral:rRNA from 1 species
GCCCCAGUAACGGCGAGUGAAGCGGCAACAGCUCAAAUUUGAAAUCUGGCCCCCCGGCCCGAGUUGUAAUUUGGAGAGGAUGCUUCUGGCGCGGCGCCGUCCGAGUUCCUUGGAACAGGACGCCACAGAGGGUGAGAGCCCCGUACGGACGGACGCCUAGCCUCUACGAAGCUCCUUCGACGAGUCGAGUAGUUUGGGAAUGCUGCUCAAAAUGGGAGGUAAAUUUCUUCUAAAGCUAAAUACCGGCCAGAGACCGAUAGCGCACAAGUAGAGUGAUCGAAAGAUGAAAAGCACUUUGAAAAGAGGGUUAAAAAGUACGUGAAAUUGUUGAAAGGGAAGCGCCUGUGACCAGACUUGCGCCCCGCGGACCACCCGGCGUUCUCGCCGGUGCACUCCGCGGGGUGCAGGCCAGCAUCGGUUCUCCCAGGGGGACAAAGGCCGCGGGAACGUAGCUCCUCCGGGAGUGUUAUAGCCCGCGGCGGCAUGCCCCUGGGGGGACCGAGGACCGCGCUUCGGCAAGGAUGCUGGCGUAAUGGUCACCAG